rnacentral:rRNA from 1 species
UACGGAGGGUGCAAGCGUUAUCCGGAUUCACUGGGUUUAAAGGGUGCGUAGGAGGGCAGGUAAGUCAGUGGUGAAAUCCCCGAGCUUAACUUGGGAACUGCCGUUGAUACUAUCUGUCUUGAAUGUUGUGGAGGUGAGCGGAAUAUGUCAUGUAGCGGUGAAAUGCGUAGAGAUCGGCAGGAACACCCAGGGGGAAACCAGUCGACUGGGCAUCUACUGACGCUGAGGUGCGAGAGCGUGGGGAGCGAACCGG